GUGCUUGGCAAAGGCAGCUGCUGCUUGGCAACCUGUUUGUGCCACCGUGACAUAUCAGUGCACCGUCGGGACGGCAGGGGGAUGAGUAAGCACAAGUGCGUCCCACUACUUCCCUCACAGCUCUAUUAUGACCAUUAGGACAGCCAGAAACAGAAGAAGAGCUACAAGGAAAUAUGUCACAAAAGUCAGAAACCAAAUUUCUCUUGCUGGACAAAAGGCUCUAAAAGAUCAGAAAGGUUCAUCUAUAAAGACACAUCACAGGAUGACUAUGAAUCUGCUGGCAAAAUUGAGCAGUAUCAUCAAAAAGCCCUGAUCAUAGAGCAUUAUAUUUAAAGCCAUCAUUUCAGAAUUCAACCAGCAACUACCUAAAAUGAGAAUUUCACAAAGCUCUCAGAUAAAAUACUGAAAACUGAACAAUGGCAGCCUAAAGCUGCUAUGACGAAUCAAGCAAGGGAAAAAAAACCAUAUAACUAUGUGUACUACACCAUCAGAUAAUACACAUGAAAACUCAAAGCACUGAGUGACUUAAAUAAAUGCCCUGAGACUGCUGGGUGCAAGGCAAGACCAGAGGAGUUAAUAGAAGGAAAAAACACUGAAUGCCACAAACUCCAUAGGAAGUGUCUGAGCCAUAGCUGGUGGCAAGCUGGGGUUACUACCAAGGGCAAUACCAUAAAAGGCUCACUCUCAUUCUACCUCCCUUCAGAGGCAUCAACCUUUGGCCAUCCUCAGAAGCAGCAUACUUGGCAAGCUGUUCCAAUGCCUGGAGAGCAUCAUGUAAAAGGCUCAUGGUCCUCUUGAGGACACUGUGUCAGUUAGCUUCAGGUUUCCUAGAACAGCUCAGAGACCUCAAGAAAACAAACAAAAAAAAAUAUACAGAAAGGGAAUCCAAACUUACAACCUUUAAACUUUUCUCCCGGAUACCUGCAAGUCAGUAAUUUUUAAUAAGUGGUAACACUGACAUAAUUCAGUUUUUCUCUUCUGCGUGUGAAUUCACUUCAGUGUGACAGGCUGUAUUCAAAGGACAGCUUAAUUACAAUGAAGGACAAUAAGCAAUCACAGUACCUUUUCUUUAGAGAACACCUCUGAUUAGGUAUCAUCGGGACACACAAAAACAACAGUGAAAGAAACGCACAAUUUACCUUUAGUUAGCUAAACCUAUAAAUAAGAGCAGUGAAAAUCUUAAUUGCUAUAAUUUAAAUCCUGAUUGAAGCUUAUAUGUCAACUAAAAUGAUAGAUUUAAGAAGAAAAGCAGUUACUGCUUUGGUUGAUGUUACACAAGCAGCUACCUCCAGACAUUUGGAGUCAUGAGAGGUGAUAGUUCAGGCUAGCAAGUCAAGCAAAAUCGCUUAGUUGUUAUGCAAGGUAGGAGACAAGGGGUGAGAAAGAAGGCAGGCAAAAAAGGGUGUGUUCCUUAGGAGUUAUUUUAACCCCUAGAGCAAUGAAAAGUACAGAACAAAUGAACAGUAAAGCCUCUAGUCAUGUUCAUAAUUAUAACUAAGGUGCAAUGCAAAUUCUAGGUAUCCCAAUAUUUAAAUCCAACCAUGAAACAUAUUUUUGCUGGCUGUAAGUUACUCUAAUUAAUGGUACCAAUUCAGAGUUACAUUUACAUGGACAAAUCCCUUCUUCAAUUAGAGCAGCUAGCAGACAAGCUGAAGUGUUUCUUAGUUCAGAACUCCCAAGCACCUGAUUCAAAUGAAUAUUUAUAGCACUCAGCUCUCCACUAUUCUAGCAGAGUUAUUAGGGAGAAGCACAUUUUUUUUUCUUAGCACUUAUUUUAAAGAUUUUCCUGCUUUAAUAAGUUAAUCACUUUUUUAACCAAGGUAUGGAAUAAUUAUUGCUUCACCUGCUGACACUGGCAGGGUGAGCAAGUUAAACAACUCUCACAGAAAGCAGACAUAUAAAUGUUAACAUUGGUGAUGCUACAAAGAAACAUUACCAGGAAAAAUCAAAUUUAAGUAAGCUUCCAAGUGCAGACAGAUCACUUAUUUUCUCCUUAACCUGCUCUCAGUACCCUAAAGCAUCUGAAGGCUCAACAGGUCUCUGGUUUCCCAGACAGUCCCUGACCACCAUUUUCAUUCCUUCUUCCUAGGAAGAGCAGGUCUUCAGAGCUGGAUGGCUGGAGACAGCUGUACACCUUGUCUGGCUGCUACACGUGUGCUUUUGAUGGCAGGUUAAAGAGAUUUGUGACCUUGCACAACUCCUGAAUGCUGUA